UAACAUUGGGGUCGGCGUCCGUUAGUCCCAGCGGAGGUGGGACGUGGAUCAGAAUCUCGUGUCCCUGCUUGGUCCAUGGCCCUGGAAGUUAGCUUUUCCGUCGGGUGGGGACAGGCAGACAAAUUGAUUGCAGGAUCCAGAGUGUUCUCUGCCCAGAGCGGUGCUCAUUUGGAAACAGGGGAGUCUUCGGCGGAGAGAGAAGAGCGCCGGCGGCGAUCCACCAUGGAGUUUCCGAUGCAUUCAAGCGGCAGAUCCAGUGUCCUUGAGGAACUAGGAGAGAGCUUGGUGCAAUGGUGCCGGCCGCUGUAGCGCCUGGGCUGAGGGGAGGUGCUACGGUGGAAGAGCAACAGGUGUAGCAGCCAGGAGCGGUGGAUAGCGCUGGUGUGCAGGAGGGAUAACCGCCUGGUUGGACCAAGAGGCUGGGGAUUAGGGCUGAGGCACCGAGAAGAACACCCUGCCCAAAUCGCGUCAGUGUGUUUGAGAAGGCUAUUCGGAGUUAUGCCGACAACCCAGCCGAGAAUGUGAUCACACCAGUGCUUGGCACUACUUUCAGACUCUUUAGGUUAGGCUUAUGACUUCUAUAAUUUGUACUCAUGGGCGAAAGGCUUCGGCAUCCGAUAUGAGAAGAGCCGGCUGAAUGUCGAGAGGACGAAUGCAUGCAGGAAAUAGUGUUAAUUUAGUUAAUCUCAGGAAGGGAGUGUCGUGCGGAUGGCUUUAGGGAGGGACAGAUCCCCACAAGUCUCAGAACUCUCCACGGUGAAGAUGAAUCCACAUGCCCCUGGAUGGAACAAGAGGUAAGCCUGAUGCUUGUUAGUUCAUUCCACCGUAGGACAUAGGAGGCGAAUUCAGUAUGACAGGCAGGUGGGAUGAUUUAGCGUAGUAAUGGAUGUGCAAAAAGAAUUUAGGUAUGGCCAGGUAGUUGGUGUUGAAAAACCAUCAUGUGGAAUGGAAAGGAAGUUUGUGUGGGUUGUAGUAUGGUGAAGCACAUGCCAGUUCCUGGGCUGAAAAAAUUGUACAGAUGUAGAUGCAGGCAAGUUCUGGCAUUCCUGUAGGUAAGAGCCACAAAAUUUUAGUUGCAUUGCUAAGGCAUGUUUUGAUUGAUCGUAUUUGCUGUCAAAUUUAGUAUGUUCGGCCGUAAUGAAGCAAAAAAAAAGCGGCUGUUGCAGAUUGAGGACUGGAUGGAGCUGUUGCACCUAGUAGAGCCCCGUGUCCAUCGCACGUCAGUGCUUUCGAGAAGGCAGUGCGCGGUUAUGCUGAGAACCCCAGUGCUGCCGUAUCUUUGAGUAUGAUUCUCUUUGAAUAAUCAUAGGUUUGGUCUAACUGAGGAGUUCCCAGACUACGCUCGUUGUAGCUAAGAGUGGCAGACUGUCAUCAUGCUGACAGAGGAUGGACGGCUUUGUUUGGCCAGAGUCGAAGGACUCAAUCUCCAUCUGUUGUCACUGAUGGCGAGCAUCGAUGGGCUCGUAAUAUGGACACAUGAAAGGCUCCUAGAUCUCGAGAAGUUUCUUGCGCCGGAAGUGGUGGCGACAUGUAUCUAUGGAGUACAGUAUUCACCUCUGGCAGCCUAUGGUUCUAUGGUCUGCUGUAAGUCAUUUUUAUACUGAGAUGGGCAAAGAAAUGCGAGAACAUGUUUAACUGGUAGAAACUGUUCUCCUAGUGUUGUUUGAACUUGCAGAUAUGUUUUUGCUGAUUUUUUUGCCUAACGAGUAGCUAAAAUUGGCUCCGCUGAUGAAGUUUACAACCGCCUGUGCAGGUACCUAGGUCAUGUUCUUCGUCAUCGUGAAGCACAACUUACUCAUGCAGGGUGCUCAAUCUCUUGCCAUGCCUGGUGAUGCCGUAAAUGCUAGGCAGUCAGUGUGGCUGAAACAAACUUGUACUGCCAAAUAUCAGCAUCAACUUGCAAAAAUGCGACAAAAUAAUCAUGCGAUGUCAUCUUUAGUGAUUUCUACAGAUGUUAUCCGACUGUGAGUUGCUUGGUAUAAUGCAUGUCAUCAUGUCAGAUCGUGUUGA